UUGAAUCAUUUACGACAGCAUUGAAAAAGGAAGCAUUGUAGCAACAGUGAGAAACAACAAAAGCCACAUUUGAUGUUGCAGUAGUACAUUGACUGAAGCGUAGAUUUGUAUUACAUUUGCCAUCUUCUCUUAACGACAGGGACGCCAACAUAGACAGCUGUGCCUGAAAGUAUGGCCACUCUCUUUACUUCAAGCAAUCAACUGCUUUCAAGGUGACAUAACCUGCUGAAAUGAUCGAGGAGCUGCGUGUCCUCUUUGAAGCAAGUCCUUAUUUGCAGGCCACAUCAAAAACUCAUUCAGAUAUCAAGCACAUCAUGCGACAGUCCAGAUUGGCUGUAAAGUGCGCCUCGUCUUUUCCAAUCUGUAUGAUGCUAAACUAAAAUAAAAGUCCAAAAGUCAAUGGAGGCCAUUUCUGAUGUUUGUAAUGAUUGGGUGAUAUUUUUAUGAGCUUUUGAAGAAGGAUAUCAUCACCUUUCUUGUCGUGCAAAUCUACAAGGUUAAUUUGAGUAUGCAAGGCUUUGAUGCUUAUCAUAGCAUCAGUCUCCAUGAAAAUAGAAUUGGAUUUGUCAUUUGGACCGCUAUGGAUGCCUCGUACAAUCGCCUCAACAAGAACAAAGGGAUCGGCAUUUGCAGGAGGAAGACGCCACUGCUUUUAUCUUCUCUUUCCCAAAAGAAAUGCAAUAUGCAAGGAAGUUUCUCAGCUCAGCUGAGGCUAAAAGUCAACAGGUAAUGCUGAGUUCCAUUAUCUGCAUGAUGGAACCUUUAAGGACAUCACUCUAGCUUGCUCUUAUCCUGAGUUGCUCCCUACUUAGCAGUGGGUAAAAGUCAGCUUGAGAUGCGACUUAUUGUGGCCCUGAUUGUGACUGGGGGAUUUAACAGGACAUCUCAAUUGCGAGAAAUGAGAGAGAUGUAAUUACUGCUCCUAUCAUCCACACCAAAGGCCCCUUCUUUCUUUCCUUAUCCAACCUCAGGAACAACCAAGUGGCAAUGGAUUCAAAUCACUGUCUUCGUUGUCCCAAUUACUAUUUUGUCAAUGCCUUCCCCUCUCAGAUGUUUUGUCAGACAGGGAGAGAUACACUGUGUAUUCUCAAACGAUCAAUAGCUGAAAAUAUAUAUUUAGUAUGAUGCAGAUGAAUUAAAAUAGCUCAAAAUAUGUUUUAGUAGUACAGCAUAGGAUUUCUGUGUUGAUGAACAAUCAUCUAAAGGCCAAAGCAAUCUACUAAAAUGGACAGGGCAGCCUCUGUCCCAAUGCCUUGUUGUGGUUGGUGUGAUUUGGCUUGGCUUACAACAAGGGAAGGCUCUUCCCUUUUCUUUGCUUUGCUCCCUUCGUCGCUUGGGCUCGAGCUAUCGGCAUACAAGAUUGAGCUGCAUCUUCUGCAAAGCCUUUCUAGCUCUGCAGAGCAGAUCUCUACCACGCUUGGCAUCUGUAAUUGACUGAUACAGAACCAAGAAGAAGAAGAAGAAGAGAACGAUGUUUGAAGUAGUAUGUGAAGGAAGCUAAUGGCUGUAAUGGAGAUGUGGAGAAUCAAGACAAUGCCUGUGGUCUUAUAGCAAGUUCUCACCUUCAAAACAGGGGGUCAUAGUUGUGCCAGCCCACAGGCUUUCUUCGGUGCUCUGCGGCGAGGUGAAGCAGCCCCUUGAAUCAGGAGGUCGCUUCCAG
rnacentral:lncRNA from 1 species